AUUGAACGCUGGCGGCAGGCCUAACACAUGCAAGUCGAACGAGUGGCGGACGGGUGAGUAAUGUCUGGGAAACUGCCCGAUGGAGGGGGAUAACUACUGGAAACGGUAGCUAAUACCGCAUACCAUCGGAUGUGCCCAGAUGGGAUUGGAUUGUAGUGGAGGUAACGGCUCACCUAGGCGACGAUGCCUAGCUGGUCUGAGAGGAGGACCAGCACAACUGGAACUGAGACACGGUGCAGACGACUACGGGAGGCAGCAGUAGGGAAUAUUGCACAAUGGGCGCAAGCCUGAUGCAGCAAGGCCGCGUGUAUGAAGAAGGCCUUCGGGUUGUAAAGUACUUUCAGCGGGGAGGCGUUACCCGAAGAAGAAGCACCGGCUAACUCCGUGCCAGCAGCCGCGGUAAUAC
rnacentral:rRNA from 1 species